GGAGAGGUGGCAGAGUGGUCGAAUGCGGCGGUCUUGAAAACCGUUGACCGGAAACGGUCCGGGGGUUCGAAUCCCUCCCUCUCCGCCA
rnacentral:tRNA from 2 species